UAGGCGCGCCUGCGCUUUGAAUGCUUAUCGGUUGCUGGGUAACCGCGUCAGGGAGGAGCCGAUGCUGUUCUACAAGGGCGCGGGGGACCACAACGACAGCUGUCCCUGAAGAACCCUGGUAACUGGGAAUUGAAGUGGAAGAGAGUCUGCAUUUCUUGUGUGUGGUCAAGAAGGAGAAAAUUCUCUCCAGGAGAGGGAGCAUUUUGUAGGUUUUUCAGGGUUUGAGGAGCUAUCUAUUUUUGCAGCAAUGCCCCAGAAACAGCCUCGUAAGCAGAGUGUCACUGGGACCAGAGGAGCCAGGAAAAGAGAUGAAGAUUCAGGGACUGAUGUGGGAGAAGGGACUGAUGAAUGGUCCCAAUCCAGAGCCACAGUUCGACCCCCUGACCAGCUGGAGUUGACUGAUGCGGAGCUAAAGGAGGAGUUCACUCGCAUCCUGACAGCCAACAACCCACAUGCACCCCAGAACAUUGUGAGGUACAGCUUCAAAGAAGGCACAUAUAAACUUAUUGGUUUUGUGAACCAAAUGGCAGUUCACUUCAGCCAAGUGGGAAACCUGAUUCCCAAAGACUCAGAUGAAGGACGGCGACAGCACUUCCGGGACGAGCUGGUGGCAGGCUCACAGGAGUCUGCCAAGGUGGUGACUUCAGACAUAGAAGUCCUCGAAGAAGAUGAAGAGCCCAAAGAAGCAGAAACAGAAGCAGGGAGUCAGACAGACGUGCCUGCUGCAGCAGAGACAACUGAAAAAGUGAUUGAAGAAGAGCUCAUGACUCCUGUGCAGCCCAAGGAACGAAAACUCACCAACCAGUUUAACUUCAGCGAGAGAGCAUCACAGACCUUCAACAACCCCCUCCGGGAUCGAGAAUGCCAGAUGGAGCCUCCACCGAGAACAAACUUUUCAGCCACAGCCAAUCAGUGGGAAAUCUAUGAUGCCUAUGUAGAUGAGCUUGAGAAACAGGAAAAGACCAAAGAGAAGGAGAAAGCAAAGACUCCAGUGGCUAAGAAAACAGAGAAGAUGGCCAUGAGGAAACUGACAUCUAUGGAGUCCCAGAGUGAUGAUAUCACCAAAGUGUCCCAAGCUGCUAAAAUUGUGGAGCGAAUGGUCAACCAAAAUACGUAUGAUGAUGUUGCUCAAGAUUUUAAGUACUAUGAGGAUGCUGCUGAUGAAUACAGGGACCAGGAGGGUACGCUGCUGCCUCUCUGGAAGUUUCAAAAUGACAAAGCCAAGCGCCUGGCCGUCACCGCCCUCUGCUGGAAUCCAAAGUACAAGGACCUUUUUGCAGUGGGACACGGCUCCUAUGACUUCAUGAAACAGAGCCGGGGCAUGCUGCUGCUCUACAGCAUGAAGAACCCCAGCUUUCCGGAGUACAUCUUCAGCAGCGAGAGUGGCAUCAUGUGUCUGGACAUGCAUGUGGAUCACCCCUACCUGGUGGUUGUGGGCUACUACGAUGGCAACGUGGCUAUUUACAACCUCAAGAAGCCUCAUUCACAGCCCUGCUUCCGCAGCACCUCCAAGUCUGGCAAGCACACGGACCCUGUGUGGCAGGUCAAGUGGCAGAAGGACGACAUGGACAACAACCUUAACUUCUUUUCUGUGUCAUCUGAUGGCAGGAUUGUGUCAUGGACCCUAGUAAAGAGUGAGCUGGUUCAUAUAGACAUCAUCAAGCUGAAGGUGGAAGGCAGCACUACAGAAAUCCCUGAGGGGCUGCAGCUGCACACUGUAGGCUGUGGCACUGCCUUUGACUUCCACAAAGAGAUCGACUACAUGUUCCUGGUGGGCACAGAGGAGGGGAAAAUCUAUAAGUGCUCUAAAUCCUACUCCAGCCAAUUCUUGGACACCUAUGAUGCUCACAACAUGGCUGUGGACGCUGUGAUAUGGAACCCAUACCACACCAAGGUCUUCAUGUCCUGCAGCUCUGACUGGACAGUGAAGAUCUGGGACCACACCAUCAAGACCCCCAUGUUCAUAUAUGAUCUGAACUCAGCUGUGGGUGACGUGGCCUGGGCACCAUACUCUUCCACUGUGUUUGCAGCGGUCACCACGGAUGGGAAGGCCCAUGUGUUUGACUUAGCCGUCAACAAGUAUGAGGCUAUCUGCAACCAGCCUGUGGUGGCCAAGAAAAAGAACAAGAUCACCCACGUGCAGUUCAAUCCCAUCCACCCCAUCAUGAUCGUGGGUGAUGACCGCGGGCACAUCACCUGCCUCAAGCUCUCUCCCAACUUGCGGAAGAUGCCUAAGGUAUGGGCUCUGGGAGUCCUGGCUGCCAUCAAGAGAUAGGGGGAUGACAGGGAGGAGCCAGGGGCCAACCCAAGUUUCUGGCAUGAAGAAUUCAAGGAAAAGAAGGGACAGGAAGUGCAGAAAGGUCCGGCCGUGGAGAUCGCAAAACUGGACAAACUGCUAAACCUCGUGAGGGAAGUAAAAACCAAAACUUGAGCGUCUGGCCCCAGGCCCUGGCCACCUGAACCCAAUAUGUGGAGCCCUUUGCCUGAGUACCAGGGUGCCUAAGCACCAACAAUGUGUCUCACCCGGUCAAGCCCCAGUAAUUGCCUUCCUCACUCUAGUUCUUAAGGUCAUAGCACCUUUUCUCCAUGACUUGACCUUCAACCUCCAUUGCUCUCCCUUUACACAAAUAAACCUGUUUGAAAACUCA